AUUGAACGCUGGCGGCAGGCCUAACACAUGCAAGUCGAGCGGAGCGGCGGACGGGCGAGUAAUGCCUAGGAAUCUGCCUGGUCGUGGGGGAUAACGUCCGGAAACGGGCGCUAAUACCGCAUACUAUCAGAUGAGCCUAGGUGGCAUUGGCUAGUUGGUGGGGUAAGGGGCUACCGGGGCGACGAUCCGUAGCUGGUUUGAGAGGAUGAUCAGUCACACUGGAACUGAGACACGGUCCAGACUCCUACGGGAGGCAGCAGGGGGGAAUAUGGGACAAUGGGCGAAAGCCUGAUCCAGCCAUGCCGCGUGUGUGAAGAAGGUCUUCGGAUUGUAAAGCACUUUAAGUUGGGAGGCGUUACCAACAGAAUAAGCACCGGCUAACUUCGUGCCAGCAGCCGCGGUAAUAC
rnacentral:rRNA from 1 species